UUCCACUACUCACGUAGCCAUUCGCUAGAGACCACGGCUGCGUCCUCGCCGGGUGCCGGGGGGAGAGCAAUGAGGGGGGCCCUCCCCAGCAUUGGACUCUGUCCAUCUGGGGAGAGAUGGCGUCACAAGCAGCCAGGGACCAUACCGUGUGACACUGCUGUGGAGACUGGGUGAGCUCAGAGGAGGCCACGCCCUGGUGGCUGGGCCAGGGCGACGUGAUGCGUGAUGCUGUCUAGCUCCAGACCUUUCCCUGCAGGACUCACGCACACACACACACACACACGGGCCAGUCGCAGGGGCGCGUGUGAGUGGUCAGCAUCUGUGUGGCUUGGGCUUGGAGGACAGCACCCCCUCGCUCCCCAGCACCCCCGCGUCCCUCCUCCUCACCCUCGGGCACAGGUCAGGCUCCGCGGGCUGUGCUGCCCUCCCCGCUGCCCUGUGAUCGCAGCCGCCCUGAGCAGUGGCGGGGGGACCCGCCCUGCCACGCAGCCUCGUCUCUGCUCGCAGCCGUGGCCCUGGGCGCGGGCCUCGCCAUCCUGCCGCCAGCUGCUAGAAAGCCCCGGAGCCAAGCGGUUUGCCUUAGCACAGCUCGUUGUGGAGCAGCUGCAACUGGCCAGGGUGUGUGGAUUCCAAACGGAAUCCAAACGGAUUACUCGUCUCCCCUGCAGCUGCCCUGCCCUGGCCCUCCCUCUGGGCAGCGGCUCCCCUAGCGAUGGCUCAGCCUCCUUCCAGAAAGUUCAGUGGCUUGCAAUUAGGAAGAACUCGGCUCCGUUCGUGUAAAAAUGUCAAUCUCACAUCUAUUUAAAGCUUUUCUUCCCUUUCCCCUCAGAACAGAGUCAUACUUGGACUGUUCUGCGUUGGCCCGCAUCCUCGAUGGCAGCCGAGGGCGCGUCUCAUCGCAGAACGCUCCGUCGCCCCCGUUCGCGCAGGUGGGCUUGGAAUUCCGCAGCCUCCCCGGUGGGCCACACCCUCAUCCGUCUUAUCUAUCGGUGUAUCUGCCGGACGGACAUCACUGCUCGAGCAGAACCCUCGCAUCAAGCCCAGGAACCGUGGUUCUGACGGCCCAGGGCCGGACGUCCCGGCCGCUGCUUGAUCAUGGAGGACACCCCAGCGGGCACAUCUUUCUGAACCGGGGCAAGUCGCCUUUGUGGGCUCACUUCGCUCGUCCGUCACCACGAAGGACCCUGGUGAUUAUUCUAGGACGUGGGUUGCUAUGGUGACGGGAAAGGGGGACUUCAGGCAGAGCUGACUUCCCCCCCGUCUCCCCUGCCUUCCCCCUCUCCCUCAGCCCCCUCUGCGAUGGUGCGCCUGCCCUAGAGAGCCCUCUUCUGUCUUCCUGUCCCCUGCGCCGUGGCUCCGGUCCCGGGGGUUCUGCAGGGUCCAGGUGUGGACACCCGCUCGGGGAGCCUCCCGAACCAGCCCUGCGUGACGGCUAUUUUUCCGGCCUCUUCUGCAAACAUUGCUGAUCCUGGUGAUUUGCAGAGUGCUGUGUACGCGAGUCACUUCCAAUCUGUUCCUUGGUGGCAGGACGGGCCCUCUGGCAGCUUCUGCCUCCCCGCCUGGUCUUCUGUCUGCUGCCCUCCCCGUGGCCCACGUUCCUGCCAGCUCUGGGACCUGCGGGGGCCCCUGGAUGUCCUGCGGGAUUGCCAUGGCAACGAGAGCUUGUCUCAGCCCUUAAGGUGGUGUCUUCAUUAAGCUCCUCUUGGAAAGAGCUUGGGCUGGAGUCUGCAAGCUGCAUAUUGAAUCAAGUCCUCUAGUGUCAAAGUGUGUCUCCGGGUGAGACUCCAAAUCGAAAUAUCCUCAGAACUUCUAACAAGUUGGAUAUCAUUUUGUAUUCAAUUUAUCAUUUUUUAAUGGUCUGUGAUUUUUGUUUGUCCUGUUUAAGAAAUAUCACUGCUAUGAGAUUACAAAGAUAUUCUCACAUUUCCCUUUAGGAGCUGAACGGUGUCCUUUUUUUUUUUUUUUUAAUUGAAAUAUAUUUGACGGGUAACAUUGUGCAAGUUCAAGGUGUUGAUGUUGAGCUCCGGGAGCAAAAUUGGCCAUCCCAAAAUGCAUCUCUUUGGCUUGUGGAUUAUUUGGGGCUAAUUAUUUUUGAGAAAGAGAAGACUCAGGAAGGUUUUCUUUUUCGUCUCCCGCCUAAAUGCCUGAAAGAAUUUACGCAGAGGACCUGCUCCAGGAAGGGAGCUCUCACCCCAGCCAACUAUGGGAGCACGUGAACUAGGUGUGGCCGACAGGGACGAGCCCAGCAAGGCCCGUUUGAUCGAAGUCCUCUCUCAGUCGUAUUGUUUCUGGAUGGCCCAGCACAUGUUUGUUCACCAAACAUUUUCUCUUUCCAUUUCUCCUGUGAAUUGCCUUCCUUGCCUUUGAAGCUCACACCCAUAGUUCGGGAUGACCCGUAUACCUCCUUUUGCCCAGAUGUCUUUGGAACCUCUCAUUUUGAUGUGGAUUCCCCAUAGGUACAUAAUUAAAUUUUAUUUUCUCCUGUUAAUCCGUCUCAUGUCAAUUUCAUUCUUAGACCACACAAAAGAACCUUGAAAGUAGAGGCAAAUAUUUCCUCCCCGACACCGACUUGAUACGUUUACGUAUUGCAAUAAGACUGGCAUUGUAAAACUGGCAGAUGUCUCUAGCCUGUCGCGAGUACCAUUCUUUUUUGUGGUGGGAAUAAUUAAGGUCUGGUUUUGACUGAAGUAUAACAUUUAUGCGGCCAUUAAAGUAUUAAAGUGCACUAAUCUUAA